rnacentral:rRNA from 1 species
UACGUAGGGGGCUAGCGUUGUCCGGAAUCAUUGGGCGUAAAGCGCGCGUAGGCGGCCCGGUAAGUCCGCUGUGAAAGUCCAGGGCUCAACCCUGGAAAGCCGGUGGAUACUGCCGGGCUAGAAUCCGGAAGAGGCGAGUGGAAUUCCUGGUGUAGCGGUGGAAUGCGCAGAUAUCAGGAGGAACACCAAUAGCGAAGGCAGCUCGCUGGGACGGUAUUGACGCUAAGGCGCGAAAGCGUGGGGAGCAAACAGG